UACAGGGGGUGCAAGCGUUGCUCGGAAUCACUGGGCGUAAAGCGAGCGCAGGCGGCCGAUUAAGUCAGAGGUGAAAGCCCGGGGCUCAACCCCGGAAAUGGCCUUUGAAACUGGUAGGCUUGAAUGCAGGAGAGGGUCGCGGAAUUCUUGGUGUAGAGGUGAAAUUCGUAGAUAUCAGGAAGAACACCAGUGGCGAAGCGGACGCCUGGCCUGACAUUGACGCUCAUGCUCGAGAGCGUGGGGAGCAAACAGG
rnacentral:rRNA from 1 species